rnacentral:tRNA from 1 species
AGUGAGAUAGUUUAAUUUAAAAUAUUGGGUUGUCAUUCCUGGGUUGCUAUAUAGUUCUCACUU